rnacentral:rRNA from 1 species
AGUGAACGCUGGCGGCAGGCCUAACACAUGCAAGUCGAACGGCAGCACAGUAAGAGCUUGCUCUUACGGGUGGCGAGUGGCGGACGGGUGAGGAAUACAUCGGAAUCUACUUUUUCGUGGGGGAUAACGUAGGGAAACCUACGCUAAUACCGCAUACGACCUACGGGUGAAAGCAGGGGAUCUUCGCACCUUGCGUGAUUGAAUGAGCCGAUGUCGGAUUAGCUAGUUGGCGGGGUAAAGGCCCACCAAGGCGACGAUCCGUAGCUGGUCUGAGAGGAUGGUCAGCCACAUGGGAGGUUGGACGGGGUCCAUGGUCCUGCGGUAGGGAGCAGUGGGGAAUAUGGGGCAAUGGGCGGGAGCCUGAUACAGCCAGAGCGAGUCGGAGAAGGAGGCGUUCGGGUUGUGAAGACCGUUUGUUGGGAGAGAAAAGCAGCAGGUUAAUACGCAGCUGUACUGACGGUACCCGAAGAAUAAGCACCGGCUAACUUCGUG